UACAGAGGUCCCAAGCGUUGUUCGGAUUCACUGGGCGUAAAGGGUGCGUAGGCGGUCGGGUAAGUCUGAUGUGAAAACUCCAGGCUCAACUUGGAGAUUGCAUCAGAAACUGCCGUGCUAGAGUGUGGGAGAGGAGAGUGGAAUUCCUGGUGUAGCGGUGAAAUGCGUAGAUAUCAGGAGGAACACCGGUGGCGAAGGCGGCUCUCUGGACCACAACUGACGCUGAGGCGCGAAAGCCAGGGGAGCGAACAGG
rnacentral:rRNA from 1 species